rnacentral:snoRNA from 1 species
AUUCAUAGCCAAAGUAACAAUGUGCAUAAAGAAACAGCCUAGUGGAAGAAUUUACCCAUGCUUAUUGGCAAGGCUGUCCCCAUUUAAUUGGUAUCAGAUUCUGAUUUACACAAGCAACAGUU